rnacentral:rRNA from 1 species
UGGGGAAUAUUGCACAAUGGGCGCAAGCCUGAUGCAGCCAUGCCGCGUGUAUGAAGAAGGCCUUCGGGUUGUAAAGUACUUUCAGCGAGGAGGAAGGCGUUAAGGUUAAUAACCUUGGCGAUUGACGUUACUCGCAGAAGAAGCACCGGCUAACUCCGUGCCAGCAGCCGCGGUAAUACGGAGGGUGCAAGCGUUAAUCGGAAUUACUGGGCGUAAAGCGCACGCAGGCGGUUUGUUAAGUCAGAUGUGAAAUCCCCGGGCUCAACCUGGGAACUGCAUUUGAAACUGGCAAGCUUGAGUCUUGUAGAGGGGGGUGGAAUUCCAGGUGUAGCGGUGAAAUGCGUAGAGAUCUGGAGGAAUACCGGUGGCGAAGGCGGCCCCCUGGACAAAGACUGACGCUCAGGUGCGAAAGCGUGGGGAGCAAGCAGGAUUAGAUACCCUGGUAGUCCACGCUGUAAACGAUGUCGACUUGGAGGUUGUUCCCUUGAGGAGUGGCUUCCGGAGCUAACGCGUUAAGUCGACCGCCUGGGGAGUACGGCCGCAAGGUUA